UAUUUUUUAGCCAACUGCUACAAGAUCAAGCCAAAGACUUAUUCCAGCUCCUACUAGACUCCAGUGUGCUAUCAACAGGAGAAGUGUCAAAAAAAAGAAGAAAUUAAAGUGUUCUAAGAUUCUGGUCUUGUUCUUGGGAGAAUAUAACUCAUAGCAUGCUGAGAAUACCAAAAAAUCAUGAUUUCCAGCAGAUAUUCUGACAGUAUAACACCAUGGAAGCGGAGAGAGAAAGCUCUUUGGUAUGAAGAAGGACAUGACACAGGAAGCCCUUGUAGAACUGGAGGAGGAAAUGAAACGCUGCCAUAUCUGGUCCUGGUGAUUGCAGGAGUAGAGGAGAGACACAGGCAAGAUCAAAAGGUCAGAUGCAUAGGUCCCUUACUUUCCCAUUGUUGGGAGGAGCAUGACAUUAUGAAAACAUCCAAUUGGAUGUGGGGAGCCUAAAAAACGGGACAGACUGGUUAGUGGCAUGCUUCCCUGUGUGUUGGCUGAGGAAGUGCUUUACAUGCCCAUGGACAGCCUUGUAUGCCAAACAGCAGACCCACAAGUACA